ACGUAGGGUGCGAGCGUUAAUCGGAAUUACUGGGCGUAAAGGGCGCGUAGGCGGCUUGUUAAGUCGGCUGUGAAAGCCCGGGGCUCAGCUCCGGAAGUGCGUCGGAAACUAGUCGGCUGGAGCGCGGUAGAGGAGAAUGGAAUUCCUAGUGUAGCGGUGAAAUGCGUAGAGAUUAGGAAGAACACCAGUGGCGAAGGCGAUUCUCUGGACCGUAACUGACGCUGAGGCAUGAAAGCGUGGGUAGCAAACA
rnacentral:rRNA from 1 species